UCGGGAAUUUUGGGCAAUGGGCGAAAGCCUGACCCAGCAACGCCGCGUGAAGGAUGAAAUCCCUCGGGAUGUAAACUUCGCAAGAUUGGGAAGAAUUAGUAGGGGUUAAUACCCCCUAUGAUGACGGUACCUUUUGUAAGCUCCGGCUAACUCCGUGCCAGCAGCCGCGGUAAUACGGGGGGAGCAAGCGUUGUUCGGAUUUACUGGGCGGAAAGGGCGCGUAGGCGGUCAGCACAAGUCAGUUGUGAAAUCUCCGGGCUUAACUCGGAAAGGUCAACUGAUACUGUGCGACUAGAGUGCAGAAGGGGCAACUGGAAUUCUCGGUGUAGCGGUGAAAUGCGGAGAUAUCGUGAGGAACACCUGCGGCGAAGGCGGGUUGCUGGGCUGACACUGACGCUGAGGCGCGAAAGCCAGGGGAGCGAAAGGG
rnacentral:rRNA from 1 species